UCCGGAACCGGAAGUACUGUGUUUAAUUGUUGGGUGUCACGGGAUGUCACAUCCGAAUGUUGUCCUCGGUGCCUUAAAGACGUGUAUUUUUAACUAGAGGUCAGGUGAAAUCACAGCGAAAUGUCACAAACGGUAGGCGCCGUUCUCACAUGUGGUAAAUACUACUACCAAGAGUCCAUCGUGACAGGAAAAAAGGAAAUGCCGAGAAGCCACCUUUUUGUGCUUUGCUAACCUGUAGCUGUAGGAGUGGAACCGAUUAAACACGCUGCGGGUUACAGUGAGAAACAACAAGUAUAAUUUAUACUAAAAUCAAAGUUAAAACAUUGUUGGAACUGGAAAAUGUGAAACGCAGCCAACUAGAACAAUGUCCAGGUAUGCUCCACUCAGUUUGGUUGUUGUGCCCACCGCAAAGAAGUGCUGCCUUCAUGUUCUCCUCACUUUCCGGAUUUUUUCCCUUUGUUUUCAAAUGCCUAAGUUGACAAAUAUAUACCGAAUAGCCCAUGUGGAUUUACAAUUUCUGUUUAUUUUUUACUUAUAAGAAUCACAGAAAUUUCAGACAAUUCCAUAAAGUACUGGACACAGACAUAUUGUAUGUGUAAGAAAAACACAACGGUACAGUAUACCCGGAAACGGUACUUUGGCGCCAUCUUGCGGCAUGCCUGUGUUAUGACAAACAGUAAUACAAUACAAUAGAAUGGAUAAGGUGCAUGUUUGUUACAAAAAGAGUUAGCAAACUGUUGUAUUUGAUACCGGUUAAAGUUGAUUCAAAUGAUCGGAUUCACUGUUGAUGUUUAUAAGGGAGUAUAUAUACAGUUUUUGUAUAAUUCCCUACUAAAUACUGUACAAUUGAAUCCUCUAUGUUUCAUGCUGCUUAGGAAAAAUUGCAUUUGCCCGUUGAAGCUAGGCUAUAAGUGCUCUAUCAAAAUGACUUGAUUGUCAACAUCCAAGCGUUUUGAGGUGUUUACUGCAACAGGUCUGCAGGCGGAGAUAUCAAUCCCCUGGGAUUCAGACUCGCCACCAAGCAAACGUCAUAGUUGUCAUGCAUCAAAGCGCGCCGAGCAACCACCGUCCAUCGGUUCUCCCAUGGGUCCAGUUCCAAGAUGUCUUUGGUUAUGUCGUCAUGGCGAUCUGAGAAUAUUGUAAUCGAGAGGUUACAAUGUUUCGCAUCCAUGCGGCGUUUGUGGAUAUAAAAAUGAAAACGUCACCUGCUCCUUUGUAGUAUCCACACACGUAAAUCUUUCCUCCCACCACGCCGGCGUUUGGCGCGUUAGUGCGUAGUGACAGUUGAGGGCACGGUAGACGAGGUCCCUCUCUCCAAAAAUCUCCGUCUGCAUUGUAGACCUCUACAACGUCAAGGCAGCGCCGGGACUGCCCACGGUCCACACCCUCACACCCGAUACCGCCUGUAAAACGUAAAACGAUAAACGUUGUUGUGGACAUGUGUGGUGAAAACUUACCUAAGACAAAAAUUUCCCCGUUGAGUACAACGGCGCUGCAUCUGUACUUGGAGUACUUCAUCGGACCCAGUUCUGUCCACUUGUUUACAUUUGGAUCGUACUCCAGGAGGCGGUUACUUAAACUGUCUGGCUCGUCAUCCAUUCGGUACGUCUGGAGAGAGGGAACGGUGAAGGAAAACGGGUUCAACAGUAGACCAGAAUUUCAAGACUUGGUGGAAAACCAGACCUCAGUUAUUUUCUAGGAUCGUAUUCCCACCUGUGGGGUUUUACCACCAAUCACAUAAAGGCGAUCCUUGAGCGUGACCACGCUGUGAUAGGCCAACGGAAGCGGUAGAGGUGCCGCACUCCGCCAGGGUCCUCCCUGCAGAGACCAUCGCUCCACGCGGUUUGUGAUGAGGAACUGGUUCUUCAGCUUCAUCAGCCCGCCCAGCAGGUACAGGGCAUCACCCAGGGAACCCAAACCGUAAGAAUCCCGGUACUCUGCAGACGUGAGGUGCUCCCAACUACCUUGGGCCUCCACUUUGUACCUGGAGAAUCCAAACGACGAUAAGAACCGGGUGUUUUUUUUCGGUGAUUGUGAUCUUCUCACCUGAAGAGCUCCACAUUCAUCUCCUUUUGUCGGGACAUCCUUCGGGCGCCGGCUUCUCCUGACACGAUAAUGUUGUUGUCUUCAGUCACAACCCCGCCGCAUACGUAACCGAGAGCUUCUCCGUAUCGAGGUGACGUGAUGUAAUAAACGCGGCUUGUCGCCGGUGCGAAACAAAAACUACGCUCGCUGUAGUUGCCGUAUCUGGAUCUAAUCCCGCCGCCGUCGUUGCCGAUGCAGAGCAGCAAAUCGGUGGUCUCCAUCCCGAAGCGCAGCUUCAGUUUACGGGGCGCCGCCGAGGGAUGCAUAGCGACGGCCUCCAUGGCUUGAUUCAACAUCUCCAGACAUUCGGCGUCAGCAAGCAAGGCCGCGUUCCUCUUCAGCGUCUCUCGUAAAUAGUCAGCGCUUAUCAAGGGCAAGCGAACCUUCCUGAGGAGCUCUGGGAGGUGCUUGACUCGUACUUCUCCUUCCAUCGAGGAGCUGUGUUUGACCCAGCGAAGAACCACAUCCAGGAUGGUUUCUUCUCUUGAAACAUUAAGAUCAUCUGAGUUGAGCAACCUGGCCAGCUGAUGGGCCUCCAGGUCCAGGACCUCUUCUUGUUGGCACACUUGGACAAAGUGCUGCCUCAGGAAGCGCUGAGCGUGAUCGGCCAGUUCCUCAGCACCGAGGUCUCGUGCGAAGUAGAAGACACCGAGGCAGUUGGAGGCGUCCAUGUUCUCCAUCAUGUGCUGCUGGCAGUGAGAGAACACCUCGUCCAUCUGCAGAAGGAAAGCCGCGAUGGAGAUGCCUUGCACGUUGGUGUUGUCCAGAGGAAGUUCUGAGGUGUACAUGUAGUUCAGGAGGAGAGCCAAGCUGUCUGCCGGCGUGUCCCGCAGGAACACUUCUCUGUUGCUGCACUCUCGGAGGCCGCAUGUGAACAUAACGCGGAAGUAGGGGCUGAAGGCGGACAGGACCAGGCGGUGACAGGGGAAGCUGACGCCUUCCGCGACCAGCACGACGUCCGUCAGGUGGCCGGCGUCCCUCAUCUUCCUCAGCUGCUCAAGCAGCACCUGGCCGUGUUUGGCGAUGCUAACACCACUUGGUCCGUGUGAAGAAUGUCCACGUGGCUGUAGUGGAUCUUAAGGAGGUUCUAAGUGGAGCUCGAAGAUGCAAAAAGGAGAAUUGGGAGAUGAAAAGUUGAAGAGCACAGCCUUCAAAAGUAAUGGUGAUCGAGGUGAUCUGACCAUCCAAUGACAUAAUGGUUACCAUAGGGAGGCCCAGACUUCCAUCUCCUCUGCAACUCAGCUCCUCCCAGUGGAUCUCGAGGCCUUCCCAAGCCAGUUUGGAGACAGUCUCUCCAACGUCUCCUGGGUCUUCUCCACAUCACCGUGACCGCAGAAGAACCAGGCCCGGCAUGGAGCAAGCAUCAUGACAUCCUUGUCGAUGAGCGAUCACGGCAUGCUGCUCAAGGUUAGCCAUUAGCGACACGCACGGAUAAAGGCUGCUUCACUGCAACAUCGCCUUCAUCAUCUGACACUUUCGGAGGAAGCAUUGAGAGUCACCGUAGAUGAUCCGGUAAAAUCCGUACCACCUGAUGGAUUCCGCAUACAGACACGGCAGAUUCAGAAUCGACAGGGAAGUCCUGGACGAGCAAAGAUUGGAGGAGUUGACUCAGAGAAAAACACAUGCGGACUCGAACCCGUCUCUCUUGCACCAACUUCAAGAUUCCGUCAGGUCAUUAGCAUUUCAACGAUCAAAUGUAUCCACUUUUGUUCCAAUGCAGAUGGAAAGAAACACCUGGAUGGGAGAAGGUUGAUGAGUCCGAAUCAAAUAUGAUGACAGGAGAACCAGAUUAUAGAGGGGGAGGAGACACCUGCUGUGGCCCAGCUUGAUGCACUGUUUUCGGGCAUGUGUACCGUACCCAGACUUAAAGGGUGUGUGCUGAGUACCUUUCCUGUGUUGUAUUGGCUGCCCAAAUACUCCGUCUGGGACUAUGGAAUGUCGGAUCUCAUCGCUGGGCUCAGUGUGGGAAUCAUGCAUCUCCCACAAGGUAUGGCGUACGCGUUAUUGGCUUCCCUGCCGCCUGUGUUUGGCCUCUACACGUCCCUCUACCCGGCCCUUGUUUAUUUCUUUUUUGGAACGUCCCGCCAUAUUUCCAUAGGUACGUUUGCCGUGCUCAGCAUCAUGGUGGGCAGUGUGACGGAGAGACUGGCUCCAGAUAUCCAUUUCCUUCAAAGCAAUGGGACCAAUAUGACGGAGGUGGAGGUGGACAUCCCUGCACGGGACGAGUGCAGGGUGCAGGUGGCAGCUGCUACCACAGUUUUGGCCGGACUUAUUCAGGUUGUGCUGGGUUUGGUCAAGUUCGGUUUUGUGGGAACGUACUUGUCCGAGCCUCUGGUGCGGGCAUACACGACGGCCGCCGCGGCCCAUGCAGUGGUGGCUCAGCUGAAGUACAUCUUUGGAGUGUCGCCGGCGCGCUUUAAUGGGCCGCUAUCGCUGGUGUAUACCCUGAAGGAGGUUUGCCUCUUGCUGCCACAGACCCAUCUCCCCACGCUGGCGGUCAGCGUGGCGUCCGUGGUGUUUCUUAUCGCGGCCAAGGAGCUCAACUCCUUCCUGAGCCCAAAGCUGCCAGUUCCCAUCCCAGCGGAGCUCAUCACAAUUAUGGCAGCAACUCUGAUAUCAAACUAUGGCCACUUAAACAUAAACUACACCGUCUCAGUGGUUGGGGACAUUCCCAGUGGCCUGAGUUCCCCCAGCGUGCCGAACGUUAGCCUUUUCGGUGAAGUCCUGGGUGAUGCUUUUGCGCUAGCCCUGGUCGCCUACGCCAUCUCCAUUUCACUCGGAAAAACCUUUGCACUCAAGCACGGAUACAAAGUGGACAGCAACCAGGAGCUGGUGGCCUUGGGUCUCAGCAACACACUGGGGGGCUUCUUCCAGUGCUACGCGGUAUGCGCGUCCAUGUCUCGCAGUCUCAUUCAGGAAAGCACUGGUGGGAAAACACAAAUGGCUGGAAUAGCAUCGGCUGUGAUUGUGUUGGUGACGAUACUUAAACUCGGCCCCCUUUUCCAGGAGCUUCCAAAGGCUGUCCUGGCAUCUAUCGUCUUUGUCAAUCUGAAGGGUAUGUUCAAGCAGUACGCGGAUAUCGUUACUCUGUGGAGGAGCAACAAGACCGAUUUGGUGCUGUGGUUGGUCACAUGGGUGUCCACCAUGCUCUUUAAUCUGGACCUGGGCCUUGCUGCAUCCCUUGUGUUUGCUUUGCUUACUGUUAUCUUCAGGACACAGCUGCCAACAUACUCCCUUCUGGGAAACGUUGAAGGUUCAGAGCUGUACGUGGACAUGGAGACCCAUCGAGAGGCCCGAGAGAUUCCAGGCAUUACAAUAUUCCGCUCUUCUGCUACGGUAUAUUUCGCCAAUGCUGAGCUCUACCUCGAGGCUUUGAAAGAAAAGAGUGGCCUUGAUAUCAGCAAAAUGAUUCUCUACAAGAGGAGACAGGAAGCCAAAGAGAAACGUCGCCAAAAGAGAGCAGAGCGACGAGCCAAGAGAGAGAGACGCGCUGAGCAAGCGGCGGUGUUCUCCGUGGAGGAAGAGGCCAAGAGCUGGAGGAACGCAAGCAUGGAGAAGAAUGAACAGAAUCAGGCAGAGAGGGAAAACGGGACGGUGUUUGUAAAGCCGACCACAGCAGAGAGCCAACCUCGAUGGGAGUACUUGAAAGGAUGCCACCCGGACAGCACCAGUUUGGGGGGGAUGUCCGAGCCCACGGACGGGGACGCCACCACUCUGGGCUCCAGCAGCGAGGAUACGCUGAGUCGGGAUCUGGAGCGGAUCUCUUUGGGCUCUCUGGGAAAAUGGACCUGGGACAUCCACUCCAUCAUUCUUGACCUCUCCACGGCCAACUUCAUCGACACGGUGGCCAUCAAGACUAUGAAAAAUAUUUUUCAAGACUUCAGUGAGAUCGAUGUUGACGUCUACAUGGCAGGUUGUCAAGCUUCCGUGGUUCAUCAGCUGGAGCUCGGCCGCUUCUUCUCCGAGCAGAUAACAAAGAGACAUCUUUUUCCAUCCGUCCAUGACGCCGUACUCUUCUGUCUGAACCACCGCGGAGCUUCGUCAUUCCCCAGAUACGAGCGCUUCACGGAUGGGGAUGGAAGCACCAAACUUUAAGACCUUCAGCCACACGGGACAUUCGGCUCCAUCAUCUAAAGCCAUGGUGUCUCCAACGUAUCCUGGGUCUACCACCAGUUGCAGAUGUCCUGAACACCUCCCAGGGAGCCGUCCGGGAUGCAUCCUGAUCAGAUGCCUUGACCUUUCAGCCCAAAGAUCAUCACCAAAGGACCUGAUGUGCUCCUCUGCCCUGGUACAGCCAAGUGUGCCGACUGUUCCUCACCAGCUGACUCCUCUUCACGCCUCGCUGCAGUAGAAAGCGCUGGAAGGCGUCGGCGCUCAGAAGCCGGAAUUCUUCUAAACUCAGCAAACCUUCAGCACAUGAAAGACACGCAUCAUCUGAGGAAGACACAACACAGUGAACAGACAGGAGAUAUUCAUAUUAUAUGUCUCUGUUGCUGCACCACGCUGAUCCCCCUGGUUACUCCUCUAUUUCCUUGAUCUGCAUUGACAAGGAAAAAAAAAAGAGAUCGUGAGUACGUUUUAAUUGGAUAAAAUCAACAUCAUCAUCAUUGUCAUACCUUAACAAUUUCACGGCUUUUCACCCUCAGCUUGUUGACCUGAGAUUCAGCGAUGUCGGCCCGCUCCUGAGCCUCCUCCAUCUCAUGCUGAACCUUCCUGUACCUGGUCAGGUGAGUGUUGGCCUGCUCCUCCUGUAUUCCAGUCCACAUUCCAGUCAGUCAUGCCACUUUUCCAUUGGAAUUGAGUUUGCAUAUUAUAUUUAAGGCAGUGGUCGCCAACCUUUUUCAGACCAAGAUCCCUGGUUUUGCCCAUAACCUUUAUACACAGGGUUUUACAGUACAAUAAAAAGUGAUACAUAUAUAAAGCUUUGUCUUUAAGUACAAAGCUUUGUGUUUUGAUUGGUUGUUGCUGCCAACAUGUUUGCUUUUCUUGUUAUGCCCUUUGCUGUAUCUAGCAUUUUUGCUCUUUAUUUGUAGUGAUGCAAUGACAAAUGAGGCACGGAGGCCCCUAAGCUGCACUUUGGACACCCCUACUUUUGUGGGUCUUGGUCAGGGUCGGCUCCAUGAGCGAACCACAGCUCCAUUUGGCAUGUUGUCGUAGGCGAGUGAUGGUGAUUGAAGAGAGAUGGGCUGGUCAAUGUGUUAUGUGUUGUGCUAACGAGCCGCAUUGUCUUAGCUUGAAGAUUCUUUUGGAAGUGCACGGCUAUGGAGUUAUACUUGUGCCUUAAUGUUUUGGUAGCAAACUACUAUAGCUUGCAGGCACAUCACAGCACUCUAUCACUUCCUGUUUCUUCUAAUGCACUUUUCUGCUCAAAUACACAGUGGAAACCACACAAACUCAACAGGGGGCCCAGAAGCACCCAAAAAUGGCAUAAAAUGCCAGAGUUUGAGGGCGGUCAUUUUUGACAAAAAAAAUGUAAGGGGUUAGUAUGUCAUUUUUUUCAGUUUUUUUCAACUUGCUUCUCAUGCACUUUUCUGGUAAAAAACACACUGGAAACCACACACACUCAACAGGGGCCACAGAAGCACCCAAAAUCCAAAAGGAGUAGGAAGAAGCAAAGCUUAUUAAAUCCUACCCCUCCAUCUGGUAUGUUUACAAUCAGUAACUGUUACAUUUGUUCACUUCCUGCUUUCCUAAUAUAAUUUAAUUUUAUUAUUUUUUAACUAUUUUUUAACUUAAGUCUUAACUCAAGUCUUAACUCAAGUCUUAACUCAAGUCUUAACUCAAGUCUUAACGAGGUCUUAACUUAAGUCUUAACGAGGUCUUAACGAGGUCUUAACGAGGUCUUAACGAGGUCUUAAUGAGCUCUUAACGAGGUCUUAACAUGGUCUUAACGAGGUCUUAACGAGGUCUUAACGAGCUCGUAACGAGGUCAUAACGAGCUCUUAACAAGGUCAUAACGAGGUCUUAACGAGGUCAUAACAAGGUCAUAACGGUCUUAACGUGGUCUUAAAGAGGUAUUAACAAGGCCUUAACAAGCUCUUAACGAACGCUUAACGACCUCUUAACGAGCUCUCAACGACCCCUUAACGAGCUCUUAACGAGCUCAUACUGAGGCCUUAACGAGCUCAUACUGAGGCCUUAACGAGGCCUUAACAAGGUCAUAACGAGAUCAUAACGAGCUCUUAACGAGGUCAUAACAAGGUCAUAACGAGCUCAUAACUAGGCCUUAACAAGGUCUCAGUGCCAUUGCAGGAAUAUUAUUUAAAAAAAAUAUUAUAACAUCUCACCGCCUCCUCGGACUGCCUUUUGUAGGCCUUAACCUUCAUCUGGAGUUUGUCCACCAGAUCCUGCAGCCUGUGGAUGUUCUUCCUGUCCUCCUCAGUCUGUUGGAAAAUGGAGCUAAUAUAAAACCGGUCUUUUUUCCCACAACUCCGUCACCAUUAUUUGCAUUUCUUUGGCAAAGUCGACGUUACCUGGUAAGUAAGCUCCUUUACUCUUCUCUCAUAUUUACGCACUCCUUUAACAGCCUCAGCACUACGCUUCUGCUCUGCAUCCACCUCACUCUCCAGUUCCCGAACCUUUGGGUGGGUGAAAGAGUAUUUCAUUUUGUGAAAACAUGGAAUCUUGUGCCUGGAAUGUUUUUAUUCUUCCUGUAAGCCUACCCUAGCUUCCAGUUUCUGGAGCUGCUUCUUGCCUCCCUUCAUGGCCAGACUCUCAGCCUCGUCCAGGCGGUGCUGCAGGUCCUUGACUGUCACCUCCAGGUUCUUCUUCAUCCUCUCCAAAUGAGCGCUGGUGUCCUGCUCCUUCUUCAGCUCCUCUGCCAUCAUGGCAGCCUAGACACAGCAACCAUGAGUGGAACCGUAGCGUUUGAUGUGAAGAACAGUACGAGGAAGGACUAACAUCAGUGAUGGCCUUCUUGGCUUUAUCUUCAGCGUUUCUUGAUUCCUGCACGGCAUCCUCCACUUCACCCUGGAUCUGGACGAGGUCGGCCUCCAGCUUCUUCUUGGUGUUGAUAAGGCUGGUGUUCUAAAUCCAGUUGGAUUGCAAACCAGUCAGUUUCCAGGUAAGUCACAUGUCACAUGUCACCGUUUGAACGCUGGGUGUCGUACCUGAGAGUGCAGCAGUGUCACACGCUCACUGGCGUCAACCAGCUCAACUUCAGCCACUUUGCGGCUUCUCUCCGUCUGCUCCAGAGAAACUCUCAGCUCCUCGAUCUCAGCCAGCAUCAGGGUGUUCCUGCGCUCCACCAUGACAACCUGCUCUCUCAUUUCAUCCUGUCCUCUUAUUGCGUCAUCAAGGUGCAGUUGAGCAUCCUAAAGUAAGUUUAUACAUCCAGUCAACAACUGAAGAAUUCCAUCUAUCUACUGGCAAUGAGAAGAAGCAGAGUACCUUGAGUUGUGCCUGGAUGUUCCUCAGUUGUUUCUGUGCUUCAGCGGCCUGGCGGUUGGCAUGGCUCAGCUGGAUCUCCAUCUCAUUCAGGUCUCCCUCCAUCUUCUUCUUCACCCUCAGGGCAUCGUUCCUGCUCCUGACCUCAGCAUCCAAGGUGCUCUGCAUGGACUCGAUCACACGCUGGCUGUUCCUCUUGAUCUGCUCAAUCUCCUCAUCCUUCUCCGCAAGCUUCCUGUCGAUCUCGCUCUUGACUUGGGUCAGUUCCAGCUGAACGCGAAGAAUCUUGGACUCCUCGUGCUCCAGGGUUGCCUUGAGGGAAAAACAACCAAGCAAGGAAUGUUUUUGUCGUGUUGUUUGACAUUUCUUCUGGAUGCUCUUGUGGAACCUUACCUCUGCCUCCUCAAGGGAAGACUGCAGUUCAGACUUCUCUGAUUCCACCGUCUUUUUGCCUUUCUCCAGUUCAUGAAUGGUCUUUCCAGUCUCACUGAUUUGCUCAGUUAGGUCAGAGAUCUCCUCUGUAAUAAAACAUUCAAUGCAGGAGGUGAAAAGGAGCACACCCACCCAACCUUAUCAACUGUAUUGUCUGUGGAACAAUACUUUCAGUUCUUAUAAGAUUAUUUCUACUCACGUUGCAGGUUCUUGUUUUCCCUCUUCAGGGUCUCCAGGUGGUCCAGAGUCUCUUCGUAGGAGUUCUUCAUCUUGAACAUCUCCGUGCUGAGUGAGCGGGCCUCCUUCUGAGCUCCUUCCAGCUCUGCCUGGCUCUCUUCGUAUUUCUGCUUCCACUCAGCAAGAACCUGAAGACAUGUUCGGGAAUAAUUGUUAGUCAGGAGACAACCAACUCACAAGACAAUGCGAGCGAUUGGGUCCCCGAGACAUGAAGUAUGAAGUGAAAAAAUAUGACUAGACAACUAAACUUUCUUAUUUUACCAAGUUAUAAAACAAUGUAGGUGCGUUUUGAAAUGUUAAUUGUUCCACAAAUUGACGCUAAAUAAUAUUAUCAACAUUUUUUUCAGACCAAAUAAACCACUGUUCGUACUGUCUGUGAAACGUUUGCAGCAUUUCUUUCUCUGAAUGUCUGAAUGCACAGCAUUUUGUUGGUCUGUAUUUACUUUGCAGAAUAAAUGUCUCAGUGAGUGUCGGCUGUCGGGAUGAAUGCUCGGCAUUUCCAUGUGUACUUGGAAUGUUUGAAGCAGGCUAGCGUGUUGUGUUGCCUUAGCAUUCCGGCUCGUUAGUGUUGAUGAACUCAGAUUGCUCAUUAUUAAUAUUACACAUUUGGCUUUGCGUCUUUUUCCCUCCUAACUUCUAAGUCACCUUGCAUUGCCCCUCAGGAGGCGCCACUCAUUUCCUGUGUGCGUAUGCUCGUGGUCCCGCCUCCCCCACAGAGCCGAAGUGACUGUAUGACUGAUAAGAGGUUCUGCGCCAUGUGUAAUCUAACAAGCUAACCUUGUCAAAGUUCCUCUGCUUCUUGUCGAGGUUGGCGGCCAGAGCGUUGGCUCUCUCCACAUCGAUCAUCAGAUCUUCCACUUCACUGUGGAGUCUCUGCUUGGUCUUUUCCAGAGAGGCACACUUGGCGUUCACCGCCUCGAUGGACUCCUCCGCAUCCUGGAGACGCUGGGCGAGCUUUUUCCUACAAACACGCAUUCAUUUGCGUCAUGAAGUUAUCUUUUGUGUGUUUCAUGACUCACUUUGCCUCCUCGAGCUCCUCGGUGCGCUGAAUGGCAUCGGUCUCAUAUUUGGUUCUCCACUGAGCCACCUCGCUGUUGGCCUUGGACAGCGCCCUCUGCAGCUCAGCCUUGGCCUCCUGCUCCUCCUCGUACUGCUCUCUGAGCAGGUCGCAGUCAUGGCGGGAGGACUGGACGGCGUGAGCCAGGGCGUUCUUGGACUUAAAAGAGGACACAUUUGUUAUUGUAGCAUUCAACAACAAAGCUUCCAUUCCAAUUGUAGACCUACUUUAACUUCCUCUUCAAGAUGCCUUUUAAACUCUUCAAUCUGCUGGAUGUUAGCCUGCUUGCUCCUUGUAAGCUGAGAGACCAGGGCCUCUUUCUCCUCCAGCUGGCGACUGAUUUCACCUAAGAAGGAAAAAAACUCCAUCAAUUUUCGAUUAGAUUAGAUUAGAUUCAACUUUAUUGUUAUUGCUCAUGUCACUUGUACAGGGCAACAAAAUGCAGUUAGCAUCCAACCAGAAGUGCAAUUUUAUAAGUACCUUAGUAGUAAAUAAAUGUAGAAAUAUAAUAGAGACUGUGACUAUAAUACAUACAGUAUACAUACUAUAAUACAGUGAGGAUAUAUACAGGGAUAUAAAUGACUAUAAUACGGCUAUUGUAGAUUAUACAGAUUAUAAACAGUAUGCACAGUAUGGAUGCAACAAUAUAUAAUAACAGUAAUAUGUACAGUAUUGCAAU